AAAGAAGGAGGGAGGCAUGCCUAACACAUGCAAGUCGAACGAGACCUUCGGGUCUAGUGGCGCACGGGUGCGUAACGCGUGGGAACCUGCCCUUAGGUUCGGAAUAACUCCCCGACAGGGGUGCUAAUACCGGAUAAUGUCUUCGGACCAAAGAUUUAUCGCCUUUGGAUGGGCCCGCGUUGGAUUAGCUAGUUGGUAGGGUAAAAGCCUACCAAGGCGACGAUCCAUAGCUGGUCUGAGAGGAUGAUCAGCCACACUGGGACUGAGACACGGCCCAGACUCCUGCGGGAGGCAGCAGUGGGGAAUAUUGGACAAUGGGCGAAAGCCUGAUCCAGCAAGGCCGCGUGAGUGAUGAAGGCCUUAGGGUUGUAAAGCUCUUUUACCCGGGAUGAUAAUGACAGUACCGGGAGAAUAAGCUCCGGCUAACUCCGUG
rnacentral:rRNA from 1 species